rnacentral:lncRNA from 1 species
ACUGAUUGCAUGAAUAAAAUGCAAAUUGGACUCAGACUGAAGGCUGUAUUAUUUUAUAAGGAGUAGGCGUGCAGUCGAAUGAAUUUUUUGGGGGGAAGUUUAGUUUAAGUCUCAAGAAUUAAGGUAAGUUCCAGUAACCAUCAUUCAUCAAGUAGCUAUCAGUUCUAUCGAACUGCCUCCAAAUGAAUGGCAAUACGUAAUAGUUUCGUAUAAUUCGACCAACCAAGUACCCAUUUAAAUUUAUCGGAUGAAAUGUAAUAAACUUCUGGAGGUCCAGUAAGGUCAUCAUAUUGAUCCUGCAUGUGUUACUACAUGCAGAAGGAAACCUAACAACUAGAUAUACCUCUAUCUGUUCUAUGAACUGUUUUCCCUAGAGGUCCAGCAAGGUCAUCACUGCAUGGGUGAUAUAUUGAUCCUGUGUUACUACAGGAGCUAGGAAACCUAAACUAAACUAUCUUUAUUUACACUAGAUAGCUCUAUUAGAUCUAAACUGUUUUCCUUACAGGUCCAGUAAGGUCAUCACUGCCACUAGGUGAUAUAUUGAUCCUGUGUUAUCACAGGAGGAAACCUAAACUGGAAUGUCUAUCUUUAUUUAUUUAUUUAUACUAGAUAGCUCUAUUUGCUCAAAACUGUUCUCCCUAUAGUAGAAGUCCAGUAAGAUCAUCACUGGGUGAUAUAUUAAUUGAUCCUGUGUUACUACAGGAAAACCUAACUAAACUAUCUUUAUUUAUACUAUAGAUAGUUCUAUUAUAGUUCUAAACUGUUUUCCCUAUAUAGAGGUCCAGUAAGGUCAUCACUGAGUGAUAUAUUUAUCCUAGUAUGUUACUACAGGAGGAAACCUAAACUAAACUAUGUUUAUUAUUACUGUCCAGAGGUCAUCACAUGCUGAUCCAGUGUUGUUUUACAGUCUACAGAAACCUGCAUGAACUCAUUAACUAUAUUUAUACUGGAUAGCUCUAUGAGUUUCAUCUUUCAAUAGAGGUCCAUCUCUUGUUGCUCCAUGCAGUAUUAUAACAGGACGAAAACCAGACAGGUUAGAGAAACACUUUCGUUGUUUGGCAGAGUCAAACUCAAAGUACUCCUCUCGCAUGGGACUGAAACGAAAUUGUGUAACAAAUAUGGCACAAAUAUGUGUCUUCUUCAUUAAAAUUCGAAAAAUCUGUAUCUGGUUGACCUUCAAGGUCCUUCAAGUCUUCUGAGAAUAUCUUUAAAUCACAGGUCGCUUUAACCUGAAUAUAAGGUCGCUUGCCCUCGGAGACAUUUGCCAAAGCGAAAAGCUGAAACUAAAUCGUCACAUCUGUGUUAUUUGAAUAUUUUAACAUUUUUAAGAUUGGCACUGAAGAAAUUAAAUUUUAAUACGUUUUUAUAGUCUCAAAGGUUAAGUGGCCACAAAAUAUCCAAUAACUUGGAUAUGUGACGGAGUUUGAUUUCCAUAGAUUUCUCGAGAUACAUUGGUUUCAUCCUUUGUAACACUGGAUCAAUAUAUAAGGGAUGCAUGGAACUCCUUGAAUAGCCUUGCAUGUAUGCAUAAUAUAUAAAGUUAGUUCACAAUUUCCCCUUGUAUAUAAUACUCACUAUAGACUGACAAAAAAAGUUUUAGAACCACUGAGUAUUUUAACAAAAUACUGCUUUUGAUGUAUAACCUAGCUAGUUUAUCCUGAUGAUGACUGAAAUAUUGUCGAAACGUAGAUAAAUAUAAAAAUGUUAUCGAUCUUUGCAGUUUCGCUUGUUUUGUAUUUUAUAGACUGACAAGGGAUGGGGCUUACUGGAACUGCUGGACCACUAAGAAGAACAGUUUAGAACUGAUAGACUUAUCUUGUUAAUUUAGAUCUUCUCCUUCGGUAUAUAAUACUGGAGCAAUAAUUAGACAUGUCCUCAUUAGACAUCUUCUAUACUGAACCUCUAGGGAGAACAGUUUAGAACUGAUAGAUCUAAGCUAAAGCUACCCGGUAAAAAUAAAGUUAGUUUAGUUUAGCUUUUUAGGUUUCAUUCCAUAUUAAUACUGGAUCAAUACGGGAUGAUUCUCACUUGGAGUUCCAUGGAAAAUAAUUUUGCAAUCCAUUUUAAAUAUAGUAAGCUCUAGAACUGUACUUAUUAUUGUAGCCCCCAAUAUUUCUGAAUAAUCAAAAGCAAGGUUCAUUUUUCAUUCAUGGCUAGCCUAAUUGAAAGCACGCCUCGGCAUAGCCCGAAAUUACAACCGCGGUUACUUUAAACACAGGAUGUAUAUAUUGAUGGCAAUAAUAAAUACCGAUUGGCUAAAUUGACGGAAAUUAAUUUUAAUGAAUGCAUUAAAACAUAUCCGUCAAUUUUCAUGAUGAAAUAUUAGACUCUUGGCUGUCACCAACGAGAUGUCACAAAACAUGGACUCAUAAACAUGAUACUAGAUUCACUUGCAUUUGCAUUGAAAGCUAGUUAUUGAGUUAACAUUGUAAUUUUCUAGCCAUGUAUCCCAAAGGUGGCAAAUCAGGAAAUAACCUUUCCAGAAGCUGUGCACACUACGAAACAUUGUUUUCAAAGCAAUGUCCCCAAAGGCAAAAGUGGGCAAAUUACGAAACAUUCCGCAUUUGUUUCCUAGCCACGUUUCCCAAAGGUGGGCAAACCAGAAAACAUUGUUUCCUAGCCAUGUUUCCCAAAGGUGGACUAACCAGGAAUCAUGCAUUGUUUCAUAACCAUGUUUCCCAAAGGUUGACAAACCAGGAAACAUUGUUUCCUAGUCAUGUUUGCUGAAGGUGGACAAAUCAAGAAACAUUGUUUCCUAGCCAUGUUCCUGAAGGUAGGCAAACCAGGAAACAUUCAUGUUUUGUUUCCUAGCCAGGUUUCCUGAAUGUGGAUAAACUAGGGAAUAUUGUUUCCUAGCCAUUGGACAAACAGGGAAAUAUUGUUUCACGCUAUAGCCAUGUUUCCUAAAGGUGGACAAACCAGGAAACAUCGUUUUGUUUCCUAGUCAGGUUUCCUGAAGGUGGACAAACCAGGAAACAUCGUUUUGUUUCCUAGCUAUGUUUCCAGAAGGCGGAGAAACUAUAGGAAGCAAAAGCAACACAUGAUAAACAAGACAUAAUUUGAAAUUUGUCUGGAAAACAUUUUUGCUGUAUGGACAUUUAUUCUGUACAGGCUUUGGUCAUAGAUAUCUUAUAUACACUAGAUAGUACAUCUAAUCAUAUUCUGCAAUCGAAAAAUUGAAGCCGUGAUUGCAGACUCAGGAUAUCAUGUUUUCUAUUUUUUACACAGGGAACUUAAACAUCAAGUUAAACGUACUCCAAAUACAUUUUUAAACUAUUCAAAUGAUGAAAGUUAUUGUUGUUUUUUAAGCGUUUAUUAGCGAGUGAGAACUACCAACAUGGCCGCCAUCUAUUCAAAUGGGGGUAACCGCUGGAAUAUUCUUGGCUUCAAUUUUACUAAAAGAGAUGCGUUAUCUAGUGUAUAUAAGAUAUCUAUGGCUUUGGUACGGCAUGCUCAAUGACAUACGAGUUCAUACUCGCUUGGCUUUUUUCUCGCCGCUCAGCGUUCUCAUCCCGCACUGAAUGUGAAUCCAGAAACAAUGAGUCCAUUCUAUACUACGUGCCAUGCCUGUGAAUGACCCUUGUAUAAAUACGCGCGCUUUGUUUACUUCCUUUUCAGUUACUCACACUUGAGAGUCGUGCGAAAGAGUCAACCGGCGUAAAGUAUCGAAGUCGAGCGCAGUAUAACACAAAUUACGAAACAAAAUCAAAGUUAAAAUCCCUAAAGGUAAGUGAUAUUAUUUUAAACUCUAUC